UACGGGGGGGCAAGCGUUGUUCGGAAUUACUGGGCGUAAAGGGCUCGUAGGCGGCCAACUCAGUCAGACGUGAAAUCCCUCGGCUUAACCGGGGAACUGCGUCUGAUACUGGAUGGCUUGAGGUUGGGAGAGGGAUGCGGAAUUCCAGGUGUAGCGGUGAAAUGCGUAGAUAUCUGGAGGAACACCGGUGGCGAAGGCGGCAUCCUGGACCAAUUCUGACGCUGAGGAGCGAAAGCGUGGGGAGCGAACAGG
rnacentral:rRNA from 1 species